GUCCACGCCGUAAACGAUGGAUACUAGCUGUUGGGGGCAACUUCAGUGGCUAAGCGAAAGUGAUAAGUAUCCCACCUGGGGAGUACGGGCGCAAGCCUGAAACUCAAAGGAAUUGACGGGGGCCCGCACAAGCGGUGGAGCAUGUGGUUUAAUUCGAUGAUACGCGAGGAACCUUACCAAGGCUUAAAUGUAGAUUGACCGAUUUGGAAACAGAUCUUUCGCAAGACAAUUUACAAGGUGCUGCAUGGUUGUCGU
rnacentral:rRNA from 1 species